AACGAACGCUGGCGGCAUGCCUAACACAUGCCAGUCGAACGAGACCUUCGGGUCUAGUGGCGCACGGGUGCGUAACGCGUGGGAAUCUGCCCUUGGGUUCGGAAUAACAGUUGGAAACGACUGCUAAUACCGGAUGAUGACGUAAGUCCAAAGAUUUAUCGCCCAGGGAUGAGCCCGCGUAGGAUUAGCAAGUUGGUGGGGUAAAGGCCUACCAAGGCGACGAUCCUUAGCUGGUCUGAGAGGAUGAUCAGCCACACUGGGACUGAGACACGGCCCAGACUCCUACGGGAGGCAGCAGUGGGGAAUAUUGGACAAUGGGCGAAAGCAUGAUCCAGCAAGGCCGCGUGAGUGAUGAAGGCCUUAGGGUUGUAAAACUCUUUUACCCGGGAUGAUAAUGACAGUACCGGGAGAAUAAGCCCCGGCUAACUCCGUG
rnacentral:rRNA from 1 species